UNUCAACACAUCGUUUUUCUGCCCUGCCUUC
rnacentral:piRNA from 1 species